rnacentral:tRNA from 1 species
GACGAGGUGGCCGAGUGGUUAAGGCGAUGGACUGCUAAUCCUUUGUGCUUUGCAUGCGUGGGUUAGAAUCCCAUCCUCGUCG